rnacentral:tRNA from 1 species
GCCGGUCUAGUUCAGUGGCAGAACUGCGCACUUGUAAUGCGUGAGUCAGAGGUUCGAUUCCUUUGCCCGGCACCA